rnacentral:rRNA from 1 species
GGAUUAGAUACCCUGGUAGUCCACGCCCUAAACGUUGAUUACUCGUUGUUGGCGAUAUACUGUCAGCGACCAAGCUAAAGCGUUAAGUAAUCCACCUGGGAAGUACGACCGCAAGGUUGAAACUCAAAGGAAUUGACGGGGGCCCGCACAAGCGGAGGAGCAUGUGGUUUAAUUCGAUGAUACGCGAGGAACCUUACCUGGGCUUGAAAGUUAGUGAUCGACCGUGAAAGCGGUUUUCUCUUCGGAGCACAAAACUAGGUGCUGCAUGGCUGUCGUCAGCUCGUGCCG